rnacentral:pre_miRNA from 1 species
CAACUACUCCCUCUGUCCCAAAUUUCUUGUCUUAGAUUUGUCUAGAUACAGAUGUAUCUAAUACUAAAAUGUGACUUCAUACAUCCGUAUCUAGACAAAUCUAAGACAAGAAUUUUGGGACGGAGGGAGUACUUC